rnacentral:rRNA from 1 species
UACGUAGGAUGCAAGCGUUGUCCGGAAUUAUUGGGCGUAAAGAGCGAGCAGGCGGUUCGACAAGUCAGAUGUAAAAUAUCCCGGCUUAACCGGGAGGGGCCAUUUGAAACUGUCGGACUAGAGUGGAGCAGAGGAUAGUGGAAUUCCCGGUGUAGUGGUGAAAUGCGUAGAUAUCGGGAGGAACACCAGUGGCGAAGGCGGCGCUCUGGGCCGGUACUGACACUGAGGAGCGAAAGCGUGGGUAGCAAACAGG